rnacentral:lncRNA from 1 species
AACACUUUUAUUUUACGACAACCUCAGAUGCUCAUGAACUACAGGCCAAAUGUCAAGGUAUUUACUCAUGGAGUUAGAUCCCACUGAGCAUUAGCUGGCAUCCUGCGUCAGAGGGUUGCUUGCAAAAGCUGAAGGCAUGCCACGACCGCUUGAGAUCUCCAGCACCUUGCAAAGCCAUGUGGGUGUUCAGGGUACUGUGAUUAAUCCUAGGAGCACGAACAAAAAGGGGAAAAAAAGAACAGAUUUGGCCCAUAAUCAGAGAGCCAGUUAGGUGCACACAGCUGUGCACAAUACAGAUUGCAGGGUGUCACUGCUGCUAUUGAAUUCAAUAGAAAACUGCUUACUGGCCUAACAAGGACAGAUUUAAUCCUAGACCCUGAAAUAUCUCCACAAACCAGUUAAUUUUCUGUAUAAAAUGUCUAAAUGUAUGCUUUAUCAAGCCACUUUUAUGUUUCGGUGGCCCCUUUAUCUUGUGUCAACCAAAAAUUCAUAAUACCAAUUUUGACUGAAGGCUGGCUUUAAUUACAAUUUCUUUUACAGGUCGCAACUGCUUUUUGUGUCCUGGGAAAUGAGAGCAAUUCUUUCUAUCAUAUUCAGAAAGAAAAUGAAAAGUUUUGCAGAACUCCUCACUCACAGGAAGAUCCGUGGGGUUACACCCCUGGCCCACGUCUCUCCGCUUGUGAAACACGGAGGAAGGAGCUUAUUGACAUGUUCCUUCCCUGGAGCCCCACCUCAGCAGCACGGCUCACCUGGCCAAAGUCUGCAGCAAAGACUCCGUGCAGGAAGGAGAACUUGGUGCCACUGACUCACUUGGUGUCUUCUGCCUUUUCAGCAUCUUCCGAGAGGCUUGGUUCUGCUUCUAAGUCUAUGAAAUUAUGGUCUUUUCCUACUAAAAAAUAAUCCUCUCCACCCAUCCAAAUACUGAGCCCACUAAAAUAUCCUCAGCUAUUUCUCUAAGCGCAUCAAUUUUUUUUCUAACACAAAAUAAAUAUAUUUUCAAAAUCA